AUAAUUCACAGAUAAAUUGUACUGAUGCACCACCUUUAUAUUAAUGCUCCAGUAAAAUAAAGGAAGAAAAUAUCUGGUCUGGAAUAAGGAAUAAAGAGCUGUACCGGAUGGGUGAAAUACCUUUACAUUGGAUACUCCACAGGAGAGAGAAACAACGCUGGAUACUGGUUCAGGAGAAGGCUGUUUAUAGACCCCACGUUAUACACUUACCUCAUAUCGACUGAGGUAACACCAAGUACAGAUAUUUCAAAUUAAGGAAAAUGGUGAAAGAUGACAUCUCAAGAAUGGAAGGAGGACAGUUAAGUGACAACAAAUAUCCACUGAACAUCUGUGCAUGGGUUAAUAGGAUCUGAUUGCUGCCACUUAAGUUAUAUCUGAUGUUACUGUUAUAAUUCAAUAAAUACAACCCAAUCAGUAUUUUCCUAA